CACGUAGGGCGCAAGCGUUGUCCGGAAUUAUUGGGCGUAAAGAGCUCGUAGGCGGUCUGUUACGUCUGCUGUGAAAACCCGGGGCUUAACCCUGGGCUUGCAGUGGAUACGGGCAGACUAGAGUCCGGAAGAGGAGAGUGGAAUUCCUGGUGUAGCGGUGAAAUGCGCAGAUAUCAGGAAGAACACCCGUGGCUAAGGCGGCUCUCUAGUACGGUACUGACGCUGAGACGCGAAAGCGUGGGGAGCGAACAGG
rnacentral:rRNA from 1 species